rnacentral:rRNA from 1 species
AUUGAACGCUGGCGGCAGGCCUAACACAUGCAAGUCGAGCGAGCGGCGGACGGGUGAGUAAUGUCUGGGAAACUGCCUGAUGGAGGGGGAUAACUACUGGAAACGGUAGCUAAUACCGCAUACCAUCAGAUGUGCCCAGAUAGAGUUAGCUAGUAGGUGGGGUAACGGCUCACCUAGGCGACGAUCCCUAGCUGGUCUGAGAGGAUGACCAGCCACAUGGGAACUGAGACACGGUCCAGCCUCCUACGGGAGGCGGCAGUGGGAAAUAUUGCACAAUGGGCGCAAUCCUGAUGCAGCCAGGCCGCGUAGGUGAGGAAGGCCUUGGGGUUGUAAAGCACUUUCAGCGGGGAGGCGUUACCCACAGAAGAAGCACCGGCUAACUCCGUGCCAGCCGCCGCGGUAAUUC